rnacentral:rRNA from 1 species
AGAGUUUGAUCCUGGCUCAGAAUCAACGCUGGCGGCGUGCCUAACACAUGCAAGUCGCGCGAGAAAGGGUAGCAAUACCUGAGUACAGUGGCGCACGGGUGAGUAACACGUGAAUAAUCUACCUCCGAGUGGGGAAUAACUUAGGGAAACCUGAGCUAAUACCGCAUAACACUUACGAGUCAAAGCAGCAAUGCGCUUGGAGAGGAGUUCGCGGCAGAUUAGUUAGUUGGCGGGGUAAUGGCCCACCAAGACGAUGAUCUGUAUCCGGCCUGAGAGGGCGCACGGACACACUGGAACUGAAACACGGUCCAGACUCCUACGGGAGGCAGCAGUGGGGAAUUUUGCGCAAUGGGGGAAACCCUGACGCAGCAACGCCGCGUGGAGGAUGAAAUCCCUUGGGAUGUAAACUCCUUUCGAUCGGGACGAUUAUGACGGUACCGGAAGAAGAAGCCCCGGCUAACUUCGUGCCAGCAGCCGCGGUAAUACGAGGGGGGCGAGCGUUGUUCGGAAUUAUUGGGCGUAAAGGGUGCGUAGGCGGUUUGAUAAGUCUGAUGUGAAAUCUAUGGGCUCAACCCAUAGUCUGCAUUAGAAACUGUCGGGCUUGAGUAUGGGAGAGGUGAGUGGAAUUUCCGGUGUAGCGGUGAAAUGCGUAGAUAUCGGAAGGAACACCUGUGGCGAAAGCGGCUCACUGGACCAUUACUGACGCUGAUGCACGAAAGCUAGGGGAGCAAACAGGAUUAGAUACCCCGGUAGUCC